GAUGAACGCUGGCGGCGUGCUUAACACAUGCAAGUCGAACGAAGCACUUGGAACAGAUUACUUCGGUUUGAAGUUCCAUUUGACUGAGUGGCGGACGGGUGAGUAACGCGUGGGUAACCUGCCCUAUACAGGGGGAUAACAGUUAGAAAUGACUGCUAAUACCGCAUAAGCGCACGGUCUCGCAUGGGACAGUGUGAAAAACUCAGGUGGUAUAGGAUGGACCCGCGUCUGAUUAGCUUGUUGGCGGGGUAACGGCCCACCAAGGCGACGAUCAGUAGCCGGCCUGAGAGGGUGAACGGCCACAUUGGGACUGAGACACGGCCCAA
rnacentral:rRNA from 1 species